UUGUUGCAUUUACAAAAUUUAUACUUAUUAUAAACAAGUAUGUGAGAUCCCAUGGAUCAGGGAAAGCUUCUGGAAGAAGCAGCUGGUGAGCUGCCAUCUCAAGGGUCUGCAGGGUUAGCCAGGUAAUUGCAUGAUGGUCAGUUGUGGACAUGUUGUGUGGAGAUCAUCUAGGGUAGCAGGUAGAUAAAGGGUUUGGAGAGGAACAAGUGUUUUGAGAUGUGACUCUGGGUAAAGUCAUGCAUAUGGAAGUUGUAAUCUCAGAGAUGACAUGUGGAACCAUUUGGGAGGUCGAGACUCUAUGUGCAGAGAGGAUAAGUGUGAUGCCUAGUGUGGAAUUUUGAGGAAAACCAAAGGUCCCUAAGAUGAGAGGGAGGAAUCAGCAAAAGAAGGAGAAGAGGAGGAGCAGAAAAGCAGAGGAUGGUGGUGACAUGGAAACCAGCUGAAGGCCCAACUUUAAAAUGGUCAGUGUGUGAACAAGUGUUUGAUGCUUCUGAAAUGUCAGCUGGGGCUGCCUGACGGAGAACUGUGGCCUCAUUAAGAUGUAGUUUGUUACACACCUAGGCUGAGCAGAGUGAUGGGCACCAGAUUACAGCAAUUUGAGAAAUGGGCUGCAUGUGAAGAGAUAUGGUCUCAUAUUGCAGAGAAGUUCUAGACGUUUGGGUAUGACCAGAAUAAGAUCAUACCUACAGGUGGUUGUAACGCUAAGGAAUGGUCAUAUUCCUGAUGUCGAAGAUGAAAAUUAAGCACUUUUAAUGUUGAUCACAACCCAGCCUGUCCAAAGGAAGAUGUGGAUACAGCAGAGAGAGGAGCUCACUGAUAAAGCAUAAGCAUCUCGCUAAAGCCUUUUCCACUUUGCAGCAAGGGAAUCUCUCCCCAAAGCUAUAUCUUCUGAAACUGACCCUCCAUGAGGAAUUGGACCCUGGAACAGCCAUGGUAGAGAUGGAUUCCCUGGAAGUACUUCUUCAUGGCCAUUCCCAAGGAGGAUGGCUGCUCUCCCAUCUC
rnacentral:lncRNA from 1 species